GCCGUCUUCCAUUUGGACUCCUAGUCAAGAAUCCAAUACAAAGUCAUCUCUGACCUGAAGAAACAGAGGUCGCCAUUCCUUCCAUGCAAGCAGGAAAGUAUAACUGGAUGCCUACUUGGUGCCACGCAUGACAAUAGGCACUGAGAACCUGGGAAUAAAUCAACACGCAUCCCUGGACCUCAAGGAUCCUGCAGCCUAGUGGAUGUACCAUGGGAAUAAACUCCCUAGGAUUUACCCUCUGCCUUAGGCUGCCUCGGGCCCUGCUGCUCUGUGAUGUUUGCAUUCACACAAAAGACCCCUCUCACUCAAAAAAAAAAAAAAAAAAACAAGCCCUCCCUGGAGAAAGCCCAGCUAUUUAUUGAGUGCCACCUGCCACAUGGGUUAGUCCAGCCCCAGAUUUUUCCUUUAUGGCCAACCCCAUUUCAACCACAGCUGAUAUCCCAUCUGACCCUUCAGAACUGUUGAGAAAUGAGGGGCAAUAAAUCUCCGUCCACUGGCCCAGCCUGGCUCCCUGCCACCGCCACUGCCUCUGCCUCCACACUUCAGAAGAAAGACUUUACAGGAGCCGCAGAUGAUGCUGAACUUCAAUUAGGCCCUGCUGGCAAAUUAGUCACGCAGGGUGACAUUUUCCAAUCAUAGAACAUUAGCAUCCCCCCUAAUUAUGAAAUUGUGGAGCUAACAUGUUUGGGAGAAAAUAAGACCAGUGUUCUCAGCAUCACAAGUGUGUGUUUGCACACACACAUGCACACACACACAUGCACACACAUGCGUGCACACACAUGCACACACACAUAUGCACACACACAUAUGCACACGCAUGCACACGGGGCCAUGGGACACUGCCAUUUACCUGUCCCCUAAUACUGUUUAAAGUUAACUUUGCCUUUGCUUAGAAGGAGAGAUGAAAACCACAUGAAGGAAAUCCUUAAAUCUCAGAGACUAUUUCUAAGAAUUUCACAAAGAGAAUUGCAGAAAACAAUGGCUGAAAUACUGAGGGCAUUAAACCACACUGAGAUUAAACUGUCUGCUCUUUAGAUUCAGGCCUGGAAGCUAAAAGUGCUUACAUGGGGAAGGAAUGUAAGUUUGCCACGCUCUUACUCUGUGACUUUGUGGAACUCAUGGAAACUGAGCUCUCCUCCCUCACCUAG
rnacentral:lncRNA from 1 species